rnacentral:rRNA from 1 species
UACGUAGGGUGCAAGCGUUGUCCGGAAUUAUUGGGCGUAAAGAGCUCGUAGGCGGUUUGUUGCGUCGGCUGUGAAAUCCCGAGGCUCAACCUCGGGUCUGCAGUCGAUACGAGCAAACUAGAGUGUUGCAGGGGGAGACUGGAAUUCCUGGUGUAGCGGUGAAAUGCGCAGAUAUCAGGAGGAACACCAAUUGCGAAGGCAGCUCGCUGGGACGUUACUG